rnacentral:rRNA from 1 species
AACGAACGCUGGCGGCGUGGUUAAGGCAUGCAAGUCGAACGGGACAGUUACUGGGUAACCGGUUUCUAGUCUAGUGGCGAACGGGUGAGGAAUACAUGGGUAACGUACCCCGGACUCAGGAAUAACGGCGGGAGCUUGCUCCCUUUGCGAAAGUGCCGGUAAUACCUGAUGAACCAGUAGCACCGCAUGGUGCAUCUGGCAAAGGUCCGCAGGUCUGGGAGCGGCCCAUGUCCUAUCAGCUUGUUGGUGAGGUAAUGGCUCACCAAGGCAACGACGGGUAGCGGGCGUGAGAGCGUGGCCCGCCACAUCGGGACUGAGACACUGCCCGGACACCUACGGGUGGCUGCAGCAACGAAUAUUCCGCAAUGGGCGAAAGCCUGACGGAGCGACGCCGCGUGCAGGAUGAAGUCCCUCGGGAUGUAAACUGCUGUCAGGGGUAAGGAACCCAAUGACCAGCCCCAAAGGAAGCACCGGCUAAUUCCGUGCCAGCAGCCGCGGUAACACGGAAGGUGCAAGCGUUGUUCGGAAUCACUGGGCUUAAAGAGCGUGUAGGCGGGAUGGUAGGUGUCAUGUGAAAGCCCUCGGCUCAACCGAGGAAUUGCUUGGCAAACCCCCAUUCUUGAGACAGGUAGAGGCGACUGGAACGUUCGGUGGAGCGGUGAAAUGCGUAGAGAUCGAACGGAACACCUGUGGCGAAAGCGGGUCGCUGGGCCUGUUCUGACGCUGAGACGCGAAAGCGUGGGUAGCAAACAGGAUUAGAUACCCUGGUAGUCCACGCCGUAAACGAUGCGCACGUGGUACGGGAGCCUCUGACGGUCUCCGUGCCGAAGCGAAAGCGAUGAGUGCGCCGCCUGGGGAGUACGGCCGCAAGGCUAAACUCAAAGGAAUUGACGGGGGCCCGCACAAGCGGUGGAGCAUGUGGUUUAAUUCGAUGCAACGCGAAGAACCUUACCUGCCCUUGACAUCCUCGGAACCUUCCAGAGAUGGUUGGGUGCCUUCGGGAACCGAGUGACAGGUGCUGCAUGGCUGUCGUCAGCUCGUGUCGUGAGAUGUUGGGUUAAGUCCCGUAACGAGCGCAACCCUUGUCCCUAGUUGCCAGCGGUUCGGCCGGGAACUCUAGGGAGACUGCCGGUGACAAACCGGAGGAAGGUGGGGAUGACGUCAAGUCAUCAUGGCCCUUAUGGGCAGGGCUACACACGUGCUACAAUGGCCGGUACAAAGGGCUGCCAACCCGCAAGGGGGAGCCAAUCCCAGAAAACCGGUCGUAGUCCGGAUCGGAGUCUGCAACUCGACUCCGUGAAGUCGGAAUCGCUAGUAAUCGCAGAUCAGCAUGCUGCGGUGAAUACGUUCCCGGGCCUUGUACACACCGCCCGUCACACCAUGGGAGUGGGCUGCACCAGAAGUAGGUUGCUUAACCUUCGGGAGAGCGCUUACCACGGUGUGGUUCAUGACUGGGGUG